AGUGAACGCUGGCGGUAGGCCUAACACAUGCAAGUCGAACGGCAGCACAGUAAGAGCUUGCUCUUACGGGUGGCGAGUGGCGGACGGGUGAGGAAUACAUCGGAAUCUACUUUUUCGUGGGGGACAACGAAGGGAAACUUACGCUAAUACCGCAUACGACCUACCGGUGAAAGCAGGGGAUCUUCGGACCUUGCGCGAUUGAAUGAGCCGAUGUCGGAUUAGCUAGUUGGCGGGGUAAAGGCCCACCAAGGCGACGAUCCGUAGCUGGUCUGAGAGGAUGAUCAGCCACACUGGAACUGAGACACGGUCCAGACUCCUACGGGAGGCAGCAGUCGGGAAUAUUGGACAAUGGGCGCAAGCCUGCUCCAGCCAUACCGCGUGGGUGAAGAAGGCCUUCGGGUUGUAAAGCCCUUUUGUUGGGAAAGAAAAGCAGCAGGUUAUUCCCCCGCUGUUCUGACGGUACCCAAAGAAUAAGCACCGGCUAACUUCGUG
rnacentral:rRNA from 1 species